UAGGGAAUCUUCGGCAAUGGGGGGAACCCUGACCGAGCAACGCCGCGUGAGUGAAGAAGGUUUUCGGAUCGUAAAGCUCUGUUGUUAAGGAAGAACGAGUGUGAGAAUGGAAAGUUCAUGCUGUGACGGUACUUAACCAGAAAGGGACGGCUAACUACGUGCCAGCAGCCGCGAUAAUACGUAGGUCCCGAGCGUUGUCCGGAUUUAUUGGGCGUAAAGCGAGCGCAGGCGGUUAGAAAAGUCUGAAGUGAAAGGCAGUGGCUCAACCAUUGUAGGCUUUGGAAACUGUUUAACUUGAGUGCAGAAGGGGAGAGUGGAAUUCCAUGUGUAGCGGUGAAAUGCGUAGAUAUAUGGAGGAACACCGGUGGCGAAAGCGGCUCUCUGGUCUGUAACUGACGCUGAGGCUCGAAAGCGUGGGGAGCGAACAGG
rnacentral:rRNA from 2 species